UCGAGGAUCUUCGUCAAUGGGCGAAAGCCUGAACGAGCGACGCCGCGUGUGCGAUGAAGGCCUUCGGGUUGUAAAGCACAAAAGAGAGGAUAAAAGCCGAAAGGUUUGAUUGAUACUCAGUAAGCACGGGCUAAGUUCGUGCCAGCAGCCGCGGUAAGACGAACCGUGCGAACGUUGUUCGGAAUCACUGGGCUUAAAGGGCGCGUAGGCGGGUGAUCAAGUCUGUGGUGAAAUACUCCAGCUCAACUGGAGAACUGCCAUGGAUACUGGUCAUCUCGAGGAAGGUAGGGGCAUGCGGAACUGGUGGUGGAGCGGUGAAAUGCGUUGAUAUCACUAGGAACUCCGGUGGCGAAGGCGGCAUGCUGGACCUUUUCUGACGCUGAGGCGCGAAAGCCAGGGGAGCAAACGGGAUUAGAUACCCCGGUAGUCC
rnacentral:rRNA from 1 species